rnacentral:tRNA from 1 species
GAGGCGUUUCGUCACCGGUGUGGCGCCCGGUCUUCAAAACCGGUGGUGGGCUUGACCGUCCACGGUAGGUUCGACUCCUAUGCGCCUCC